rnacentral:rRNA from 1 species
GGGGGAUAUUGCACAAUGGAGGAAACUCUGAUGCAGCAACGCCGCGUGAGGGAAGAAGGUCUUCGGAUUGUAAACCUUUGUCCUUGGUGACGAAACAAAUGACGGUAGCCAAGGAGGAAGCUCCGGCUAACUACGUGCCAGCAGCCGCGGUAAUACGUAGGGAGCAAGCGUUGUCCGGAUUUACUGGGUGUAAAGGGUGCGUAGGCGGCUCUGCAAGUCAGGUGUGAAAACUAUGGGCUUAACUCAUAGAUUGCACUUGAAACUGUGGAGCUUGAGUGAAGUAGAGGCAGGCGGAAUUCCCGGUGUAGCGGUGAAAUGCGUAGAGAUCGGGAGGAACACCAGUGGCGAAGGCGGCCUACUGGGCUUUAACUGACGCUGAAGCACGAAAGCAUGGGUAGCAAAC